AUGACACCCCUUGCACCUCUUGUCAUUUUUAUUCUCAGAGAAGGGUGUAAUAAUAGUGCUGGACAAUGGGAAAAGCAUUUCAAAUGCUACUCAUCCUCUUAGGAAAAUUAGCUCUAAUACAGUACUUAGCAUCAGGUUUUUUUCAGUUGAGAUUAUUAGGCCAUCUAUUAGGUUUUUUCAUGUAUUCUUGUGGCUCACAACCAAAAAGAGAAGGAAAAAUCUAUUAGACCUGGCAUUAUGA